UACGGGGGGAGCAAGCGUUGUUCGGAUUUACUGGGCGUAAAGGGCGCGUAGGCGGCGUAACAAGUCACUUGUGAAAUCUCGGGGCUUAACUCCGAAACUGCAUUCGAUACUACCGUGCUUGAGGACUGGAGAGGAGGCUGGAAUUUACGGUGUAGCGGUGAAAUGCGUAGAUAUCGUAAAGAAGACCAGUGGCGAAGGCGGGUCUCUGGACAGUGCCUGACGCUGAGGCACGAAGGCCAGGGGAGCAAACGGG
rnacentral:rRNA from 1 species